rnacentral:rRNA from 1 species
GUGGGGAAUAUUGGGCAAUGGGGGAAACCCUGACCCAGCGACGCCGCGUGAGGGAAGAAGGUCUUCGGAUUGUAAACCUUUGUCAACAGGGACGAAACAAAUGACGGUACCUGAAGAGGAAGCCACGGCUAACUACGUGCCAGCAGCCGCGGUAAUACGUAGGUGGCGAGCGUUAUCCGGAUUUACUGGGUGUAAAGGGUGUGUAGGCGGGUUGUCAAGUCAGAUGUGAAAUGCCGUGGCUUAACCACGGCACUGCAUCAGAAACUGGCAAUCUUGAGGGUGGGAGAGGUAAGCGGAAUUCCUGGUGUAGCGGUGAAAUGCGUAGAUAUCAGGAGGAACACCGGUGGCGAAGGCGGCUUACUGGACCACAACUGACGCUGAUACACGAAAGCGUGGGGAGCAAACAGGAUUAGAUACCCUAGUAGUCC